rnacentral:tRNA from 1 species
UGGCUUAGUGGUAGAGUGCUUGCCUACCAUGCAUGAAGUCCUGGGUUCGAUUCCCCAG